rnacentral:tRNA from 1 species
GGAAAGGUGACCGAGUGGCUGAAGGUGCACGCCUGGAAAGCGUGUUGUCGGGAAACCGGCACAAGGGUUCGAAUCCCUUCCUUUCUG